GACGAACGCUGGCGGCGUGCCUAACACAUGCAAGUCGAGCGGAUAAGGCUGGCAUUUGUACGGACUGGAUGAGGAGCGGGCGGGUGAGUCACGCGAGUGGGCUCUGCCUUUGAGGGGGAGACCACAAGUGGAAAGGAAUUAUCACAUCGCAUCAGAGCUUGAAACAGGGGGUUGAUGGGAGAAAGAGGCAAUUGCAGCACUCAAAGAUGAUUCCGGGGUGUGUUAGCUAGGUGGUCGGGUAAAGGCUCACCAAGGCGUGGAUGCGUAGCCGACCUGAGAGGGUGAUCGGCCACAUUGGAACUGAGACACGGCCCAAACUCCUACGGGAGGCAGCAGUAGGGAAUCGUAGGCAAUGGUCGAAAGUCUGACCCAGCAAGGCCGCGUGUGUGAAGAAGGUUUUCGGGUCGUAAAGCUCUGUUGGUAGAGAAGAACGGUAGUGAGAUUGGACAGCGCGUGAAUGACGGUAAAAGAUGAAGAAGCACCGGCUAACUUCGUG
rnacentral:rRNA from 1 species